UCACACGAGCUGCUAUGGUAUUUAAAAACCACUAACGGUGUCGAACCCGACACCUAGUAUUUUCGAGUUAAAUACCAAAACUUCACCAUCAACACUCAAUUUUGCAAUUCAGCAAUCAAUUAAUAAUCCAACCAUAUCAUCAAAUGUGCAAUUUCUAGCAAGCAAAUCAUCAAGAACCAUCAUAAAACUAUAAUGGUCAUAACCGGUAGAACGGGCCACUCGCGCAUCUCCGAGUUGAAAUCCGGAAAUCAAACCAAAUGAGUUCAGAAGAUUUCCAAAUUUGAAUAUGUUGUGAGGACACAUAAAUAAACAUUUUUCAUGAAGACACCUCAACCCAGAUUCUUCUAUAUUCAGCUCAGUAAAUCGCUCAAUUCAGUACAAAAACUGUGUCCGUUUUCAAAAAGUCUGUUUUCCAAAACCAGUUUAGUUAAAGAUCCAAAAAUUGUCCAUUUGAUCUGAAAUUUAAUUAUGUUAAACUAGAAGAUAUAAAAAACAAUUUUAAUGAAGAAACCAUUUUGAAAUUAGAACCCUAAAAGUUGAUAAAAACCCCUAAAAUCCCAAAAGGUCACAAAUUCCAGCACAGUCCGAGAUUCUGUUUGCAAAUAACGAAGCUGAUAUAUCAUUCUUUUAAAUCCCUAAAAAUCUUGAGAAAAAUAUAUGUCAUAGAUAAAUAUGUUUAAAACAUUUAUUAAUAAGGAAGCAACCUCAAAAUCGCAACACAUUUCGGUUCACAUAAAUGGCAAACGGCGAGUGUCCAGAAAUCAGUUCUGAAGAACAACCACUGAAUUCGACUAAACCAUCCUCAAUGGUGCUAAUCUCACUAAUUAGAUUAACAUUAAUCUAUUAUAAGGCAAAUAUAACCAUUAUAUAUUAUCAUUAAUGCAUACUUAAGCUAAUCUAAACAACCCUUAAGCAUAAUUAACCCCUUAAAUAAGGUUUAGUGAGUGAACUCAUUGGUUUAGCGGGUCGAUGAGUCCACGGCGAUGGCGACGCAGAGGUGAGCGACAAACAAGCCCACGGAGACACCAACCAAGGCCGGGAAGUGCUCGAAAACAGGCCACGAAGCCUCACGGCUUGCUGCUGACUUUGCUUCUGCUUGCUGGUCGAGGGAGCAAAACCAAGCAACUCCAGCGGCUGGAAACGGCAAGAAACGGCCAAGCGAGAGGCGGAUGGGGAAUGGUGGCUCACGGCCACACAACCAAAGGGGAAAAGGAGAGAGAAAUGGGUAUGAGGUGAGGGAGAGUGAUGAGGAAAUUCGUCCAAAUGAGGGGUGGAGAGAGAAAGGGAGAGAAAUGAUGGACAAAGGAGAAAACUUGGGGAAGAAGAAGCUUAGGAAGGAAAGGAGGAAGUUGCUGCAGCUUGGAGGAGGGGCAAGAGCCACAAAAGUCUUGCCAAAAAGUCAAGAACACUCAAGUAGAAGCCCCAAAGUCUUUAGCCACACAAUUGCGUAAACUUGAGGAAGAAGUAGAAAGGAGAGAGAAGUGGGUCUCCCUUUGC
rnacentral:lncRNA from 1 species